rnacentral:rRNA from 1 species
UACAGAGGGUGCGAGCGUUAAUCGGAAUUACUGGGCGUAAAGCGCGCGUAGGCGGCUUUGUAAGUCGGGUGUGAAAGCCCCGGGCUCAACCUGGGAAUUGCAUUCGAGACUGCAUAGCUAGGAUGCGGAAGAGGGAAGUGGAAUUUCCGGUGUAGCGGUGAAAUGCGUAGAUAUCGGGAGGAACACCAGUGGCGAAGGCGACUUCCUGGCCUGUUCUUGACGCUGAGGCGCGAAAGCUAGGGUAGCAAACGGG